UGGAGUGCUUACCUUCGUGUGUUCCCACAAU
rnacentral:piRNA from 1 species